UAAAGUUGAAAUCAUAAUUUUACUAUUCUUAAAAAAAACCAAUUUUACUUCAUCAAACAGGAGGGAGAAAGAUUAUUUUCUCUUCCUGACUUUUUCUUCCUCUAUUUUCUAUACAUGUAUUUUUGUCCUCCCUUAUUUCUUCACAGAGAGUAAACUUCAGACCUCCCUGUCACUUGAUUUGUAAUUUGUAAACUAAAGUUUCACCAAAAGUAUACUUUUGUAGAACUAGGUUUUAAGUGUCUCAAAA
rnacentral:misc_RNA from 1 species